AUGCAUCUAUUUGACAGACCUGGAGUAGUUACUGUCUGCUGCUAAGGUUUCCACCACAGAUGCAAGAAAAAAAAUAUUCUCUUGCUUUCUGUCUGUCUGAUUGUGGCUGCUGAGAUUGAAUAGAGGAAUAAAGUG
ensembl:snoRNA